rnacentral:rRNA from 1 species
CAGUAGCCGCGGUAAAACGUAGGUGGCAAGCGUUGUCCGGAAUUAUUGGGCGUAAAGGGCUCGCAGGCGGUUUCUUAAGUCUGAUGUGAAAGCCCCCGGCUCAACCGGGGAGGGUCAUUGGAAACUGGGAAACUUGAGUGCAGAAGAGGAGAGUGGAAUUCCACGUGUAGCGGUGAAACGCGUAGAGAUGUGGAGGAACACCAGUGGCGAAGGCGACUCUCUGGUCUGUAACUGACGCUGAGGAGCGAAAGCGUGGGGAGCGAACAGGAUUAGAUACCCCGGUAGUCCCUGUCUCUUAUAC